rnacentral:rRNA from 1 species
CCUACGGGAGGCAGCAGUGAGGAAUAUUGGACAAUGGGCGCAAGCCUGAUCCAGCCAUGCCGCGUGCAGGAAGAAGCAUCUAUGGUGUGUAAACUGCUUUUGUACAGGAAGAAACACUCUCUCGUGAGGGAGCUUGACGGUACUGUAAGAAUAAGGACCGGCUAACUCCGUGCCAGCAGCCGCGGUAAUACGGAGGGUCCGAGCGUUAUCCGGAAUCAUUGGGUUUAAAGGGUCCGUAGGCGGUUUAAUAAGUCAGUGGUGAAAUCUGGUCGCUCAACGAUCAAACGGCCAUUGAUACUGUUAGACUUGAAUUAUAAGGAAGUAACUAGAAUAUGUAGUGUAGCGGUGAAAUGCUUAGAUAUUACAUGGAAUACCAAUUGCGAAGGCAGGUUACUACUUAUGGAUUGACGCUGAUGGACGAAAGCGUGGGGAGCGAACAGGAUUAGAUACCCUGGUAGUCCACGCCGUAAACGAUGGAUACUAGCUGUUCGGAGCAAUCUGAGUGGCUAAGCGAAAGUGAUAAGUAUCCCACCUGGGGAGUACGUUCGCAAGAAUGAAACUANAGAGUUAGUAGGACGUGAGAGAGCGACGACGACACGAGGGAGGAGGNG